rnacentral:lncRNA from 1 species
GUUGAACAGACUAACUCUCUCCUUUAUGACUUUCCAUAUGGAACAUUCUGAUUCAACCAUUGGCUGGGGUCUCCCCUUCUCGGUCUCAGAAUAACUUGGGUCUCUACACUCUUACUUUGAAGUAAAGUGCUUGGAAGUACUCAAGUUACGGUCAUCCGUGUAUUGCAAUACGCUGCCCUGGCAAAUGCAAAAUAAAGUUUUCAAGUAAUGAAUAGUGGCUGUUAAACUGGUGUUAGUGCUCCUGGCAGAGACAGGUCCCGGGUGCGUGGUCAAUCUGCCAGUCACACAGAGACCAAAACCCAAACAUUCAAGCAGAGACAAAAACAUACAUACAGUGGGGAGAACAAGUAUUUGAUACACUGCCGAUUUUGCAGGUUUUCUUACUUACAAAGCAUGCAACAAAAUGCAAAUGAAUUACUUAAAAUUCAUAAAAUGUGAUUUUCUGUAUUUCUGUUUUAGAUUCCGUCACACAGUUGAAGAGUACCUAUGAUAACAAUUACAGGCUUCUACAUGCUUUGUAAGUGAGAAAACCUGCAAAAUCGGUCAUGUAUCAAAUACUUGUUUUCUCCCCAAUGUAUAUACGCUGACAUGUUAUAACUGAUAAACUUUCAGACAUACAAACUCCCUUCCCAUCUGUUUUCUUUCAUUCCUGGUUGAUCUUUAACAUCUUCACAGUGGAUUAACUAUCCCUCUCCUCAAGUCACAGCUGAGUGAUUAUGAAUUCUGAGAUCACAGAUAGUCUGGGGCUGUAAUAACCUGGUGUUCUAAUGCUACCCUCAGACAUCCUAAAACAACAUGCUCACUGCAGCAGCAGAACUCCAGAAUCCCUGUGGAUUACAUAGCUGGGCUCCUUGUCAUGAUGGGCUAUCCAGAUCUACCUCUACUUACAUUCACAGUGGAUCUUUAGCUCUCAAAGCUGUCAUGAUCAGCCUCCCUGUUAAUGAUCCCCUUUUAGGAGCAGUAAUUCCGGAUAAAAUCUCAUGCAAUGUACAAAAAUAUAAUCAACUCAUAGCAGCCCUAGCGCAACAAUGGAAGAGGCAGUGAUAAAGAAAAGAAAAAGGAUUUAAUUAGUCUCAUUGCCACCUAUAAAAACUGUUUAACUUAUAGUCAAAAGGUUUGUCGGCUAAGCCUGGUAAAAUUCAUUGGGGAACAGGUGUUUGAUGUGCCAGUACCAUGGCAUUGGCUCUGUGAUCCGAUAUAGGAAAUAACCCUUGACCCAUCCAUACACUAAUUUCAAUUCAAGACAUUGUAUGGAACACAUGCAGCAAAAAUAUGCUCAGCUUUUGGGGCAUUGAACAGUCCGGACAUAGCAGAUUCUACCACGAAGAAACAGUUGUUGGAUCAUCUCAUCCGGUACUGUCUAUCGGUGGCUAGUUUAUGGAGUCCAGUAAUGGCUGCCAUAACAUAAUAUCAGGAUGUAGUAUGACAUACUGUACAUUUGGGAAGCAGGACUGUAAAUAGGAGACACUGUGCUCUUGGGCAGUAUCAAGAGAUAUGAUAACCAUCUGGUGUACAAACAUUUUCAUAAAAAAAACAAUUAACAGGUAAAAAUCUAAAUUCAAAAAUCUAAUAGUUAGUUGAUACAUUGUAUGGUAGCCAUGCGGGACAACUACACAAUCAAGUAGUAGUAAAUACAACUUAAUUAAUACUGCAGCUACCAGCAAAAUUCUACCAGGGAAAAAACAAAAGACAAAUUGCAAGCACUUCUCCACAGAGGCGGGUUGUGAUUUUCAGUAACAUAUAUAGAGAGAAAGGGUUAUUCUUUUUAUACUGUACUGUAUAUGCAUCACAGGUCAUCAUUGGUAAUGGGCACAGAGUCACAGUAUAAUCUCUUUCAGAUAAAACCAUGCUGGCUGGGUUAGGGGGGAAUGCUCAUCCCAGUCAGACGAAGACCCCUAACCAACAACUGGGAUUCUCCCCUGCUGGCAGCUGGGCCAUCACACACCCGUGAGCUCAGAAAGCUAUAAAUAACUCUUUCACACUACAGUAAACAGAGUAAACCACAGACAAAUUAUUCUACAUUCUUCUCUGGGACUUUCCUUCACAGCCCCUAAAUCCGUUUCUCAUUUCCCCCCCC